GUGAGUGAAGCUAGGCGGAGCUAAGCGGAACGAAAUUCAUCUGGCUAGGGUCAGGUUAGGAGUCUCCUGCACUACCCAAGACUCAGAGAAUUCAGCAAGAUGCUUCUGAAUGGUGCACAUGUGGAAAUUGUGCAACAAUGCCUUCAGAGCCUGAGAACUUAUGCUGCCAGGAGGUACCACAGGUUACAAGACGGCUGCAGCAGCUGAAUGAAAGGCCUCCAUGUAUGAUAGACCAUCCAGGCUUAGAACCUGUUUGCCUAAAUGUGUUCUCACGGCAGAAUGCAUGGAACAUUUACAGGGCUGACUACGGUCCUUUACAGUUAUGGGGAAUAGAGCAGUGAGUUAUCUGUAAUAACCUACUUCCAUUCACUGUUCAUACAACAUAAAAGCAAAUAUAGUCUGCCAAAGCCUCUAUUUCAGAAUUUUUUCUUGAACUUAUGGCCAAGUAUUUCCUUAGCAAACUGUAUAUUACACAUAAAUUCACAUGAAGCAUUUUACACAUACAAUAAACAUUUAUUUACUGUUGUUAUUGUACAUAAAAAUACAGUAUUGAAGGAUUCACUGAAACCAGAUUAUACAUACAUUAUAAAACCUGUUGACUAGCAAUGUUUCAUUUUUCUCAGUCGUUACAGGUAUUUAGCCUACAGAAGUUUUGUGAGCUGGUGCUGGGGCUUCCUUGGUAGAAAGAUACGGGUAGUGAUCCCCUCAUGUGUCGUGACGGGAGUUUCCUGACGCCCAGGGAAGAUAUGUAGGAUUCAAACUCCCACCCCUUGAUCGAAUCUUGAGACAUAGCUGGCGAUGACCUCCUCCUUGUCUGGAUGCUCAUAUUGUGAAGACCGGUCCGGCGGGAUGUUUAUCUUCAGAAUCUCGUCUCCAUACGAUGAUGGGUCAACACUUUCUCCAUGAUCAUGUCCAUCAAAUCUUCAACAUACCCUGUGCAAUACACAUACACACAAAAAAGUGAAUCACUAGUAUAAUUUACUACAUUAUUCAACAACUGUUCAUAUUGACAUUUUGCAUGUGAAAUUGUGUAGUUUCUCAGGUAUUUAAGUAAGUUUGUUUGGUUUUAUUUAUUGUGCUGAAAGCACUGUAGCAGUACUUUGUCAUGUACAAUAUAAGUGUUUGUUUUUGUGUAAAUAAAAAAAACUUAUGGAACGUAGCGUCUGUCUUCACUGGUCUGCUCCUUUUUCUAGAUUGUAGA